rnacentral:rRNA from 1 species
AUUGAACGCUGGCGGCAGGCUUAACACAUGCAAGUCGAGCGGGGUGAUGGUGCUUGCACUAUCACUUAGCGGCGGACGGGUGAGUAAUGCUUAGGAAUCUGCCUAUUAGUGGGGGACAACAUCUCGAAAGGGAUGCUAAUACCGCAUACGUCCUACGGGAGAAAGCAGGGGAUCACUUGUGACCUUGCGCUAAUAGAUGAGCCUAAGUCGGAUUAGCUAGUUGGUGGGGUAAAGGCCUACCAAGGCGACGAUCUGUAGCGGGUCUGAGAGGAUGAUCCGCCACAAUGGGAGUGAGACACGGCCCAGACUACUACGGGAGGCAGCAGUGGGGAAUAUUGGACAAUGGGGGGAACCCUGAUCCAGCCAUGCCGCGUGUGUGAAGAAGGCCUUAUGGUUGUAAAGCACUUUAAGCGAGGAGGAGGCUCUUUUGGUUAAUACCCAAGAUGAGUGGACGUUACUCGCAGAAUAAGCACCGGCUAACUCUGUGCCAGCCGCCGCAGUAA